UACAGAGGUCUCAAGCGUUGUUCGGAUUUAUUGGGCGUAAAGAGCUCGUAGGCGGUUCGGUAAGUCGGAUGUGAAAUCUCCACGCUCAACGUGGAGGGGCCAUUCGAUACUGCCGUGACUCGAGUCCGGUAGGGGAGUGUGGAAUUCCCGGUGUAGCGGUGAAAUGCGCAGAGAUCGGGAGGAACACCCGUAGCGAAGGCGGCACUCUGGGCCGGUACUGACGCUGAGGAGCGAAAGCGUGGGGAGCGAACAGG
rnacentral:rRNA from 1 species